UCAAUAAGAAUCAAUAAUUCACUACACUGCAAACUUCUGACUUAAAUUAUAUUACCCUGCAAUAGUAAAACAAGGGUAAAACGAGUUCAGAGCAUUGUGAAAAAAUCCACGCCAACAGCCAUGUCAGUGUGCAUGUGUAGAUCGGGAAAAUUAAAUUUAUAUUUAAUAUUAUUAUUCAGGAGUUCAAAGUCCGUCUUGACAAAACAGAGGACUUUUUUGGCAGGACGGUCAUAUGUAUUCUAAGGCGCCACCCUGGUUAAACUAACCCUCGCCGGAUCUGAAACAAAACCAAGAUCAAUCACGUGCUCUAAUGAAUUUCGAAAUAUCAAACGAGUCAGAAAUAAAAUCAUGUUUUGUAGAAGUUAGGA